AUUGAACGCUGGCGGCAGGCCUAACACAUGCAAGUCGAACGAGAGGCGGACGGGUGAGUAAUGUCUGGGAAACUGCCUGAUGGAGGGGGAUAACUACUGGAAACGGUAGCUAAUACCGCAUACCAUCAGAGGGGCCAAGAUGGGUUUAGCUAGUUGGUGGGGUAACGGCUCACCAAGGCGACGAUCCGUAGCUGGUCUGAGAGGAUGACCAGCAACACGAGAACGGAGCGACGGUACAGACUACAACGGGAGGCAGCAGUGGGGAAAAUUAGACAAGGGGAGGAGGCCUGGUGCAACCAUGCCGCGUGUAUGAAGAAGGCCUUCGGGUUUUAAAGUAAUUUCAGCGUGAAGGAGUUACCCGAAGAAGAAGCACCGGCUAACUCCGUGCCAGCAGCCGCGGUAAUUC
rnacentral:rRNA from 1 species